UUGGAGGGCAAGUCUGGUGCCAGCAGCCGCGGUAAUUCCAGCUCCAAUAGCGUAUAUUAAAGUUGUUGUGGUUAAAAAGCUCGUAGUUGAACCUUGGGCCUGGCUGGCCGGUCCGCCUCACCGCGUGCACUGGUCCGGCCGGGCCUUUCCCUCUGCGGAACCCCAUGCCCUUCACUGGGUGUGGCGGGGAAACAGGACUUUUACUUUGAAAAAAUUAGAGUGCUCAAGGCAGGCCUAUGCUCGAAUACAUUAGCAUGGAAUAAUAGAAUAGGA
rnacentral:rRNA from 1 species